rnacentral:rRNA from 1 species
UACCCCAUAACAGUUUGACUGGCAUCAGUUGAAUUUAGAAAGCUCCGGCGGUUAAAGAUGAGUAUGCGUUUGAUUAGCUAGUAGGUGAGGUAACGGCUCACCUAGGCGACGAUCAAUAGGGGAUCUGAGAGGAUUAACCCCCACACGGAUACUGAGACACGGAUCCGACUCCUACGGGAGGCAGCAGUAAGGAAUAUUGGACAAUGCCCGCAAGGGUGAUCCAGCCAUGCCGCGUGCAGGAAGAAGGCCCUAUGGGUCGUAAACUGCUUUUACACCGGAGAAAACCUUCCCUCGUGAGGGGAGCUGAUAGUAUGGUGAGAAUAAGCAUCGGCUAACUUCGUG